GUUAGGCACGGUGGUGCAUGCCUGUAAUCCCAGCAGCUUUGGAGGCUGAGGCAGGAGGAUCAAGGUUCAAAGCCCGCCUCAGCAAUUUAGUGAGACUGCAAGCAACCUAGUAAGACCCUGUCUCAA
rnacentral:sRNA from 1 species